rnacentral:lncRNA from 1 species
AAUGGGGUUUUCCUUUAGGGGUUAAAAGUGUAGAGGUGGACCUCAACACCCAAGUCGUUAGGAUUCUAGGUGCAACCUCUAAAGACCAUGACUGAAACUCUCAAGCAGACGGGUCGAAAAGCCAGAUUGAUUGGGCAAGGGAUCCCAGAAGGUCUUCCCAUUAAAAAAAUUGUGCUCUUGCGUAUCGGAUCUCAUAACUGAAAAGGCGUGUCACAACCCAACCUUGAGUCAUGACUAAGGUGGUGGUUAAAAACUGUAAUCAGAUGGGAGAGGAGAGGCAGCAACCAAUGCACCCAAGCGGAUAUUGAUCAAGUGCGAAAUGAGUGGGGGAAGUUUGUUGUCAAUACAUAUGUGCAUGAGCCAUGAAGUAGCGCGUUUGUUGCUGGUCCAUUUUUGCUAAGGAAAGCAUCUUUUUUUGUGCUCAUUGUCAUUCACCAUGUGUUGCAUGUUUUGGAACAAUGGUUAUAUAUGUAUUAGCUUUUUGAUGUCCCAAGUAGAUGGGCAUGCACUAGAAUGCUUUUCUUGUUUAAAAUGUUGGGCUCAAUGAUUAGUGGUUUGCAAUGUUUAUAUUUGAUGGUUUGCAAUGUUUAUAUUUGGUAUGUAAAUGGAUCAAAUGCACAAUUAUACUAUAUAUAA